rnacentral:rRNA from 1 species
AUUGAACGCUGGCGGCAUGCCUUACACAUGCAAGUCGAACGGUAACGGGCCUUCGGGUGCCGACGAGUGGCGAACGGGUGAGUAAUGCAUCGGAACGUACCUUUCAGUGGGGGAUAACGUAGCGAAAGUUACGCUAAUACCGCAUAUUCUGUGAGCAGGAAAGCAGGGGAUCGCAAGACCUUGCGCUGAUUGAGCGGCCGAUGUCAGAUUAGCUAGUUGGUGAGGUAAAGGCUCACCAAGGCGACGAUCUGUAGCGGGUCUGAGAGGAUGAUCCGCCAAACUGGAACUGAGACACGGUCCAGACUCCUACGGGAGGCAGCAGUGGGAAAUUUUGGACAAUGGGGGCAACCCUGAUCCAGCCAUGCCGCGUGAGUGAAGAAGGCCUCCGGGUUGUAAAGCUCUUUCGGCCGGGAAGAAAUCGUAUGGGCUAAUACCCUGUGCGGAUGACGGUACCGGCAUAAGAAGCACCGGCUAACUACGUGCCAGCCGCCGCCGUAAAAC